GAGUUUGAUCCUGGCUCAGGAUGAACGCUGGCGGCGUGCCUAACACAUGCAAGUCGAACGAAGCACCUUUUGAGAUUCUUCGGAUGAUCGAUCGGUGACUGAGUGGCGGACGGGUGAGUAACGCGUGGGUAACCUGCCCUGUACAGGGGGAUAACAGCUGGAAACGGCUGCUAAUACCGCAUAAGCGCACGAGGAGACAUCUCCUAGUGUGAAAAACUCCGGUGGUACAGGAUGGGCCCGCGUCUGAUUAGCUGGUUGGCAGGGUAACGGCCUACCAAGGCGACGAUCAGUAGCCGGUCUGAGAGGAUGAACGGCCACAUUGGAACUGAGACACGGUCCAAACUCCUACGGGAGGCAGCAGUGGGGAAUAUUGCACAAUGGGCGAAAGCCUGAUGCAGCGACGCCGCGUGAGCGAAGAAGUAUUUCGGUAUGUAAAGCUCUAUCAGCAGGGAAGAUAAUGACGGUACCUGACUAAGAAGCACCGGCUAAAUACGUGCCAGCCGCCGCGGUAAUAC
rnacentral:rRNA from 1 species